rnacentral:rRNA from 1 species
CAUGCAGUCGAACGAUGAUGCUCCACUUGUGGGGUGGAUUAGUGGCGAACGGGUGAGUAACACGUGAGUAACCUGCCCUUGACUCUGGGAUAAGCCUGGGAAACCGGGUCUAAUACUGGAUACGACCUUCUGGCGCAUGCCAUGUUGGUGGAAAGCUUUGGUGGUUUUGGAUGGACUCGCGGCCUAUCAGCUUGUUGGUGGGGUAAUGGCCUACCAAGGCGACGACGGGUAGCCGGCCUGAGAGGGUGACCGGCCACACUGGGACUGAGACACGGCCCAGACUCCUACGGGAGGCAGCAGUGGGGAAUAUUGCACAAUGGGCGAAAGCCUGAUGCAGCGACGCCGCGUGAGGGAUGAAGGCCUUCGGGUUGUAAACCUCUUUCAGUAGGGAAGAAGCGUAAGUGACGGUACCUGCAGAAGAAGCGCCGGCUAACUACGUGCCAGCAGCCGCGGUAAUACGUAGGGCGCAAGCGUUAUCCGGAAUUAUUGGGCGUAAAGAGCUCGUAGGCGGUUUGUCGCGUCUGCCGUGAAAGUCCGGGGCUUAACUCCGGAUCUGCGGUGGGUACGGGCAGACUAGAGUGCAGUAGGGGAGACUGGAAUUCCUGGUGUAGCGGUGAAAUGCGCAGAUAUCAGGAGGAACACCGAUGGCGAAGGCAGGUCUCUGGGCUGUAACUGACGCUGAGGAGCGAAAGCAUGGGGAGCGAACAGGAUUAGAUACCCUGGUAGUCCAUGCCGUAAACGUUGGGCACUAGGUGUGGGGGACAUUCCACGUUUUCCGCGCGUAGCUAACGCAUUAGUGCCCCGCCUGGGGAGUACGGCCGCAGGCUAAACUCAAGGAAUGACGGGGCCCGCACAGCGCGAGCAUGCGAUAU